GACGGCCAAUUGGAGACGACGGAGAGUCAAGCGGAUGUCCAGGAGGAGCUCUUGGGACAGACGGCGCGGGCGGCCCGGCGUCUCCUGUCUCUGGCAGGACUGUGAGGCGGCACUUAGCGCCCUGGUCGCUCGCGCCCCGCCGACGCCUCCUUUUUCUCUCCCUACCUCUGCGCUCUGCGGCCGCCGCUGAGAUCUGGGACGGCGGCACAUCCAGCCCGGGAGACGACUGGCUAGGAAAUAGAACUGUACAACUAAUUUGACAGGCAGUAUGAUAAGGAACAAUCUGAAUGACACGUAAACAGGAGGGGGUAAAUUCCAAGCACAGCCUGAAUGAGAAGUACAACUCAUUUCCUGUAACCUAGAUGCCUUUUUAACACAUCUAUGCAGUCUCCAUGUGAAACCAGGUGCUGUUCCCAAAGGAGAAAACACUGCCCUCCAGUGGUCUUCAAUGAAGAAAUGGAAAUAGUUUCAGGUGGAAACCAGGCUUCUUGGAAGACUUCAAACUAUGCCAAAUGGUCUGAUUUCACCAUAGAGAAUGUUAUACUAUUAAUUGCCAAUUUGCAUAUGUGUGCAGCUGCUGUUUUGGCUCUGAACUCAAUCCGAUAAGCUUGCUGGAGGUAUCGCAGAGCACUUGGCAGCUUUCCUAUUUGAAAAGAAAGCCUCUCCCCUCUACAGAACAGCUGAUCGUCUAUCAGCGAUAGACCCUGAUGGCGUGAAUUACAAUUACACUACUUUUCACACUAAAUCUGGGUGAUAGCUACUUGGAAAGAAGUUUCAUCAUUUUUUACCACAAACUGGAAAAAGAAUUACAUGGUCAUGCUGUGCUUUUAAAGGCAGUUUGGUUCACUUUUGUCUAUUUAACACCUAAUUCCAAGAAGUCCAUAGGCAUCUAGAGAUCUGAAUGGCGCGUAAUGAAUUCACUGUUUAGAUUGAAGAUUUUAAAAAUCUACCUCAAAUUACAUUUAUUAACAGGGCGACCAGGAAGUGUUAAAGUUGUUAGACACUUCAUUUAUUAAAUAAUUUGUGGG
rnacentral:lncRNA from 1 species